AUAUGCUUGGUUGGGGCGUUUUGUUUUGAGCCGAGGCGGCUGCACCACCCCCCGAGCCGGGGUUGCCAGAGACGCUCGGGGGCUUCAGUUACACAGAGAUCUCUUAUAUCUCUUAUUUUUCCCCAGCCUUGUGCAAUCCUCUCCCUUUUAGUACACGGGUUUAUUUCCUCUCCCCUCUGCGGGUAUCAAGGUUUCUCUCCUCUCUCCAGCUUGGCUGCUUAUUCCAGAAGUUUCCACGGGGCCGGGGAGCCCCCACUGCGGCGCCUUUGCCGCAGCGUCGGGCAGGAGGAGGAGGAUGCGGAGGAUGCGCCACCUCUCCCUGGCUGGGAGCCUCAUUUCAAGCCGCUCCCCCUUGCUCCGUUCCCCCAGCCUUGAAAACAGCGCUGGGAGGUGUUUGCAGCUUGGAGGGUUUUUUUUUUUUUUUUUUUGUCCCCCCCUAAAUAAAUGGAAAGCAGAGCUGUCGCUGAUGGAGAUGGAUGAGACAGGGCUGGCAGCGCCGCAGCCCUGCUCCAGCGUGGCCAUGGCACCGAUGGCAUAAGUGACCUUUCCCAGGCGGUGGAAGGGGGGAUUCCCCCCCUGCCCCAACAUGCUCCUGCUCGGAAUUGUAGCAGAAGUAUUAUUUUUAAAUUUUCCUUCCCCCCCUCCCAUUUCUCCUUCACUGUUUUGGUGGGGUUUUUUUUGUUUGUUUGUUUUGUUCUGUUUUUUUCCGAAGCUUCCUCAUGAUCUUUUAUUUUCUUCCUGUGUGUGUUUUAAUUGCGUUUUAAAAUUGCCCAGCUGGAGACAAGGCUUGAUUAGAGCAGAAACAAUAGCUCCCUUUUAUUAAUAACAGGAAGGAUUAACAAUUGUACAGCACCUUCCUUGGAAAGCUUUCCAAACCAUUUGCAAACACAAAUUUCAGAUUGUGCAGCCCUUGGCUGUGAGGUGGGUAAGUAUUUUAUUGUGCCACCACCCGAAAUCACCUCGGUGGCAAAUCUCAUUUCUGAGUGCUUAAAAAGAUGACAGAUUUGGUUGGUGGGUUUUUUUUUUUUUUUUUGGUGGGUAGUGGUGGGUGGGUGGUUGGGGUGGGGUGCGGGACUGGCUAAAAGCUGUAACCUAAAUCUGUGGAUGCAGAGUAUUUGCUGUGUCCUGGGAGCUGGGCUGUUCUUCCUCCAACCAUGCAGCUCUCCAGAGCCAAGCUGCAGAUUUGCUGCAUGUCAGUAAACAUCUGCUUAUGGAUUUUUAAUUUUGUUUUUUAAUCCAUUCCCUUUCUGCAGUCCCUAAGUGACCUCUUCCACGCUGCCUCCACUGAGGUUCCACCACAGCUUUGCACUGGAGCACUAAUGUUUGUGAGCCAGAGUGACCUUGCUGGGGGUACUGGGCCCACCGAGCAAGUGAGGUGCUCUAAUUUGAUCCCAAAUCCCUGCACCCUGUUUUUUUCCAGGUCAUCCCCUCACUCAGGGGGAUGUUGGAGUUAUGGGUUAAAGCUGUUUAAUGCCUUAUUUUUUUUUCUCUGCUUUUUUUUCUCUGCUUUUUUUUUUUUUUAAGUUUUUUUUAUUUCCAGUGGAAACAAUGUCUUGUUUAUGUAACCCCUCUCCUCAGCAAAUCCCUACAAACCAAGCAGGGAUCCAGGAGUCACCCGGGCAGUGGGAUCUGGCCUUUCCAGAAGCAUGAGGGACAAGGCUCCAGUCAUGUCUGUGUGUGUCACACACAGGCCACAUAAACCCGCAGUGUUCCUGUGGUUACUUCUGUCUGCAGAGCAUGAGUGGGUCCCAGGGCUUUCCCUUCCCACUGCUUGCUGGUUCACAAAGGCUGAUGCUUCUGGAAAAAGCUCUGCCUUGCGGCCUUCAAAAUAAAUAAAUAAAGCAGCACUGCUUCGGAUUAGUCAUCCUUAUUUUUGAAGGAAGCUGUUUGCCAGCACUAUCCGAAUCACGCAUGUGCAUGUGAGAUGGGAACUCCAGAAGGGUGGUAACGUGGUCUGCUCACUGCUCCUUGGAGCUCAGCCACCCGGGCUUAAUUGAACUGCUCCUGGCAGGUGGAAAAACUGACAGUCCAGCUUUCCAGACCUUUCCCUCUUUUUUUCAGUGCUGGAAUCUGCAUUGGCAGGUGUGCAAACGUGGAGACCAUAACAGCAGCGAGUGAGGAUGGAUGAGCUGUUUUCUGGGGUCACAUCCAACUCCAGAGAAGAAAGCCUGGUGAUUUAUAAUUUUUUUCUUGUCUCUGCCUGGAAGGCCGUAGUCCUGUCUAGUGAUGAAAGCCCUGUGUUUGGGGAGAGCCCUUGUGAGCUAGCUGUGAUGUAAAUGGAACCCUCCUGGCACUCCUCUCAAGCCUCUCCUGUCAACAGAGUCGAUGGCUUUGUUUGCGACAGCUCCCAGCCCCUGCAUGUCCUGUGAGAUGGCUGGGUGACAGCAGUGACUCCACGAGAUUCCCUGGAAGGACCUGGGAGCUGGCAUGGUUUCCUCGUGUCCCUUGGAGAUACCACCCCAGCAGGGAGGAAGAACAGUUAGAAUUGCAGUUGCAGCAAGUGCACUUCAUCAGAGAGGGAGAAUUUGUAAUGGAAAAGUUUUUUUUUUUUGCUGGUUUUGGUUUGGGUUUUUCUUCUCUGAAAUGGAGAGCAUGUUGAAGGCAGAGACACGUACCAGCUACUCCUUGGGCUUUCCCAGCAGGUAAAACGGAAAGCUGAGCCCAGUUCCACAUGGGAAGAGCCGGUGAAGCAUGUUGGCAUCACAUUUUCUUGUGUGCAUGUGACUCCAUCACACAUUUUAAAUAAUAGAUGGUUUGCGUGCAAAGAAUUGUUAUGGGUUUUAAUUAAUUAGUAGAUCCUAGUUUGGCAGAGCCCAUCAUCACUGGGGAAACUGAGGCAUUGGGCUGCCAAAGGAGUCAGGGAUAAGGUUCGGGGCCACCACAGAUCAAGUCCACAUGCGUCAGAGAUGUGAUUAAAUCA